GACGAACGCUGGCGGCGUGCUUAACACAUGCAAGUCGAACGAAGAGCGAUGGAAGCUUGCUUCUAUCAAUCUUAGUGGCGAACGGGUGAGUAACGCGUAAUCAACCUGCCCUUCAGAGGGGGACAACAGUUGGAAACGACUGCUAAUACCGCAUACGAUCUGACCUCGGCAUCGAGGAUAGAUGAAAGGUGGCCUCUAUUUAUAAGCUAUCACUGAAGGAGGGGAUUGCGUCUGAUUAGCUAGUUGGAGGGGUAACGGCCCACCAAGGCGAUGAUCAGUAGCCGGUCUGAGAGGAUGAACGGCCACAUUGGGACUGAGACACGUCCCAGACUCCUACGGGAGUCAGCAGUGGGGAAUCUUCCGCAAUGGACGAAAGUCUGACGGAGCAACGCCGCGUGAGUGAUGACGGCCUUCGGGUUGUAAAGCUCUGUUAAUCGGGACGAAAGGCCUUCUUGCGAAUAGUUAGAAGGAUUGACGGUACCGGAAUAGAAAGCCACGGCUAACUACGUG
rnacentral:rRNA from 1 species